GAGGUGCCCCGAGGAACAACUUGACCUAGAACUGCCCAGCUUGUAGUGUUUUGAGCUGAACUUUUGUUUACCAGAGACCUGAUUUAUGGUAUUUUGAUAUAGCAGCUGCAAAAAAUUAUAUAAAUUCACAUGAUAGAGAGCUCAUCAGUUUCACCAUCUCAUUGUAUUACGCAUCUCUCUUUUUGCAAUGCUGAGGAUAGAACUCAAGGCUCUGUGUGUACUAGACAGCGCUCAUCACUGAGCCCCAUCCCCAACNNNNNNNNNNNNNGUUGCAAUGUAUUCCAGCCUGGCCUGGAACUCCCUAUCCCUGAUGACUGCAAACUUCCAGUCUCCCUGCCUCUCAAGCCCAAGUGCUGAGGUUUCAGGUGCACGCUCUUAGCUGAUGGGACCUUGGGAAAGAGUGAUGGACUGGCACUAUGGAGUUACAUUCCCCCAUCCUACUAUUGCUAUUAUUUUAACUGAAAUAAAGCAUGAGUACAAGAUGGUUUAAAUCAUAAAACAUUAUGAAAUGUAAAAGAUCUCUGUUAUAAUUUUAUUUACUUGAUUAUUUAUGGUCCUGGACGUGGAAGCAUUUGCUCUCUCAUGGAAUGACUGCCCAAGUACUAAAGUUACAAUGUCAAAGUAAGUCUUGGAGGGGAAUAAGAGUUUAUACCAGUUUUGUUUUUCUUCUCCUCCCUCUCCUCUCAGAUACAGGGUCUCUCUGAAUAGCCUUGUCUGUCCUGGAAUUCACUAAGUAGACCAGGCUGGCCUUGAACUCCCAGAGAUCCACCUGCUUCUGCCUCUCCAGUACUGGGAUGAAAGGCCUGCACCACUGCCUAGCCUUUUUUUUUUUUUAAUUUUUUAUUAGGUAUUUUCCUCGUUUACAUUUCC
ensembl:antisense Gm27209 predicted gene 27209